AUGUGUAAAAGGUUAUUCAAGAAAAAGAUCUGCUGCAUAGGAACAUACAUUUUUCUGUCACUAGUGUUUAAAGAUGAAGAUUGUAGUAAGUACACAAAUCCUAACAUGCAAAGAAUUUGGUGCCCACCUCCAGUACAGGCAGGUCUUACACCUCUGAAGAGACACUAUCCCAGUGGUCCUGUCUCCUGUCUAGAGCUGUUAAUGUGCUCGUACAGAAAAGAUGUGAUGAUGGAAGGGGAUCUCAUAGCCAGCUGUCACAUCUCGGCAAGACUGAGGGAAGCGUUUCACGAACAGGCUCCAUCCUGAGCCACAAAAACAGCACAUUCGUAUUAUCGCAUCGGUGACAUCUUCCAGUCUCUUUACUGCAGGAAGCGGCAGAUCACCUCCCCUCUCCCCUCCACAGCAACAGUGACAUUGCACACCUCUGCCCUAACUUCAUCCCCACACUCCUUCAGCUGUCUUGCUCUGUAUAAACUCUACUGCAACACACCAUCUUCCAUGUUUCUGAUGAGUCUUUGCAAUACUCUGAGCUCUCACUCCCCUGUACCCUGUUCUCUCUUCACUAUUCAUGUUAUUAAUGAACCAAGCAUUGCAUUUCUUUUAUUUGGGCAUAAAACUCAGCUUCUCAGUCUCAAUAAACCACUCCUGAUAGCUGAGAGAAGACA
rnacentral:lncRNA from 1 species